CUCAGCUAAGAAUCGGGCUCAGCCAAACUGGCAUGACCGAGCUCUAAAUUUGGUGGAGAAACAGUGCCAGACAAAUUUACUCAUUCAACUAAUAUUUUACUGCACACUUACUGCAUGCUAAGCCGCGUCCAAAGUGCUGGGGAUACAAAAGGAGCAGAACAGGUUAAGUUCCUGUUCUCAGAGCUCACCUUCAGUGGUUGACUGCGGUGAGAGAAAAAUAUGAAUGGAUCCCAGAUAAGGAAUAUCACCGGCAAGAGCCUCCAAGUGCAGCCCCUGCAGCCCCAAGCAUCAGCGGGGCUGUGCGAGUGAGCCCUCCAGCCAGGAGCCACCCAAGCCUAACAUGAUGCUGGGAAUAAGGAGGAAGGAGCAAGCCAGAGAGAGGCGCACGUGCGGGCCCAUGGGUAG
rnacentral:lncRNA from 10 species